rnacentral:rRNA from 1 species
CUUGCACUGGUCAAUCUAGUGGCGAACGGGUGAGUAACACGUGGGUAACCUGCCCAUCAGAGGGGGAUAACAUCCGGAAACGGAUGCUAAAACCGCAUAGGUCUUCGAGCCGCAUGGCUUGAAGAGGAAAAGAGGCGCAAGCUUCUGCUGAUGGAUGGACCCGCGGUGCAUUAGCUAGUUGGUGAGGUAACGGCUCACCAAGGCCGUGAUGCAUAGCCGACCUGAGAGGGUGAUCGGCCACAUUGGGACUGAGACACGGCCCAAACUCCUACGGGAGGCAGCAGUAGGGAAUCUUCCGCAAUGGACGCAAGUCUGACGGAGCAACGCCGCGUGAGUGAAGAAGGUUUUCGGAUCGUAAAACUCUGUUGUUAGAGAAGAACAAGUGCUAGAGUAACUGUUAGCGCCUUGACGGUAUCUAACCAGAAAGCCACGGCUAACUACGUGCCAGCAGCCGCGGUAAUACGUAGGUGGCAAGCGUUGUCCGGAUUUAUUGGGCGUAAAGCGAGCGCAGGCGGUUCCUUAAGUCUGAUGUGAAAGCCCCCGGCUCAACCGGGGAGGGUCAUUGGAAACUGGGGAACUUGAGUGCAGAAGAGGAGAGUGGAAUUCCAUGUGUAGCGGUGAAAUGCGUAGAUAUAUGGAGGAACACCAGUGGCGAAGGCGA